AGCAGCCGCGGUAAUUCCAGCUCCAAUAGCGUAUAUUAAAGUUGUUGCAGUUAAAAAGCUCGUAGUUGAAUUUCGGGACUAGUACGCUGGUCAUGCCUUUGGUAUGUACUGGUGUUACUGGUUCCUACCUUCUGACGAACCGUCAUGUCAUUCAUUUGGUGUGGCGGGGAAUCAGGACUGUUACUUUGAAAAAUUAGAGUGUUUAAAGCAGGCUCGCGCUUGAAUACAUUAGCAUGGAAUAAUGAAAUAGGACGUUUGAUCCUAUUUUGUUGGUUUCUAGGAUUGACGUAAUGAUUAAUAGGGAUAGUUGGGGGCAUUAGUAUUCAAUUGUCAGAGGUGAAAUUCUUGGAUUUAUUGAAGACUAACUACUGCGAAAGCAUUUGCCAAGGAUGUUUUCAUUAAUCAAGAACGAAAGUUAGGGGAUCGAAGACGAUCAGAUACCGUCGUAGU
rnacentral:rRNA from 1 species